rnacentral:rRNA from 1 species
GUCGUCAGCUCGUGUCGUGAGAUGUUGGGUUAAGUCCCGCAACGAGCGCAACCCUUGUCAUCAGUUGCUACGAAAGGGCACUCUGAUGAGACUGCCGGUGACAAACCGGAGGAAGGUGGGGAUGACGUCAGGUCCUCAUGGCCCUUAUGGGUAGGGCUACACACGUCAUACAAUGGCCGGUACAGAGGGCUGCCAACCCGCGAGGGGGAGCCAAUCCCAGAAAACCGGACGUAGUCCGGAUCGCAGUCUACAACUCGACUGCGUGAAGUCGGAAUCGCUAGUAAUCGCGGAUCAGCUUGCCGCGGUGAAUACGUUCCCGGG